AAAGCAGGGAUUGUGUGCAUCGGCGUUGUGCUACAAUAAGUGCAUGCAUUGUGUCCGAAAGAGGUCUCUGCCGUGGAUCUGGGGAAGGUGGGCAGUUGUGUUUCAUUCCUUUUAUUGAAACUUUCAACAAUCAUCUUACUCCACAUCU